AUUGAACGCUGGCGGCAUGCCUUACACAUGCAAGUCGAACGGCAGCACGGUUGCUUUCACCUGUUGGCGAGUGGCGAACGGGUGAGUAAUACAUCGGUACAUGUCCUGUAGUUUUGGAUAGCCCUGCGAAAGCCGGAGUUAUACCCCAUACGAUCUACGUGUUAAAUGGUGGGCCCUGGGGGCUUUGGGCUGUUGGGGUUGCCGAUGGGGGUUUUGCUAGUUGGGGGGGUAAAGUCCUACUCAGGCGCCUAGAAGGGUCUGGUGUGAGAGGGGGACCAGCGACACUGGGACUGAGACACGGACAAGAGUCCUAAGGGAGGCAGCAGUGGGGAAUUUUGGACAAUGGGCGAAAGCAUGAUACAGCAAUGCCGAGUGCGUGACGAAGGCCUUCGGGUUGUAAAGCACUUUUGUGGGGAAAGAAAUGCUUGGGCCUAAUACGGUCGGGGGAUGACGGUAACGGAAGAAUAAGCACCGGCUAACUACGUG
rnacentral:rRNA from 1 species